UAGCUAGUUGGUGAGGUAAAGGCUUACCAAGGCGACGAUCUGUAGCGGGUCUGAGAGGAUGAUCCGCCACACUGGAACUGAGACACGGUCCAGACUCCUACGGGAGGCAGCAGUGGGGAAUUUUGGACAAUGGGGGCAACCCUGAUCCAGCCAUGCCGCGUGAGUGAAGAAGGCCUUCGGGUUGUAAAGCCCUUUCGGCCGGGAAGAAAUCGCAUGGGCCAAUACCCUGUGUGGAUGACGGUACCGGAAUAAGAAGCACCGGCUAACUACGUGCCAGCAGCCGCGGUAAUACGUAGGGUGCGAGCGUUAAUCGGAAUACUGGGCGUAAAGCGUGCGCAGGCGGUUUUGUAAGACAGGCGUGAAAUCCCCGGGCUUAACCUGGGAACUGCGUUUGUGACUGCAAGGCUAGAGUACGGCAGAGGGGGGUGGAAUUCCACGUGUAGCAGUGAAAUGCGUAGAGAUGUGGAGGAACACCAAUGGCGAAGGCAGCCCCCUGGGUCGAUACUGACGCUCAUGCACGAAAGCGUGGGUAGCAAACAGGAUUAGAUACCCUGGUAGUCCACGCCCUAAACUGUGUCAACUAGGUGUUGGGUGGGUAAAACCAUUUAGUACCGUAGCUAACGCGUGAAGUUGACCGCCUGGGGAGUACGGCCGCAAGGUUAAAACUCAAAGGAAAUGACGGGGACCCGCACAAGCGGUGGAUGAUGUGGAUUAAUUCGAUGCAACGCGAAAAACCUUACCUACCCUUGACAUGCCAGGAACUUGCCAGAGAUGGCUUGGUGCCCGAAAGGGAGCCUGAACACAGGUGCUGCAUGGCUGUCGUCAGCUCGUGUCGUGAGAUGUUGGGUUAAGUCCCGCAACGAGCGCAACCCUUGUCGUUAAUUGCCAUCAUUUAGUUGGGCACUUUAACGAGACUGCCGGUGACAAACCGGAGGAAGGUGGGGAUGACGUCAAGUCCUCAUGGCCCUUAUGGGUAGGGCUUCACACGUCAUACAAUGGUCGGUACAAAGGGUUGCCAAGCCGCGAGGCGGAGCCAAUCCCAGAAAGCCGAUCGUAGUCCGGAUUGCAGGCUGCAACUCGCCUGCAUGAAGUCGGAAUCGCUAGUAAUCGUGGACCAGCAUGUCACGGUGAAUACGUUCCCGGGUCUUGUACACACCGCCCGUCACACCAUGGGAGCGGGUUCCGCCAGAAGUAGGUAGCCUAACCGCAAGGGGGGCGCUUACCACGGCGGGGUUCGUGACUGGGGUGAAGUCAUAACAAGGUAGCCGUAGGGGAACCUGCGGCUG
rnacentral:rRNA from 1 species